UACGGAGGGGGCUAGCGUUGUUCGGAAUUACUGGGCGUAAAGCGCACGUAGGCGGCUUUGUAAGUCAGGGGUGAAAGCCUGGAGCUCAAUUCCAGAACUGCCUUUGAGACUGCAUCGCUUGAAUCCGGGAGAGGUAAGUGGAAUUCCGAGUGUAGAGGUGAAAUUCGUAGAUAUUCGGAAGAACACCAGUGGCGAAGGCGGCUUACUGGACCGGGAUUGACGCUGGGGUGCGAAAGCGUGGGGAGCAAACAGG
rnacentral:rRNA from 1 species